GUCAAAGCACCGCUGCAAGAGGGGAAGUUGCUACUGUGAUGAAUUCUGCCAUGUGGCACCAGACUGCCACCCAGACCACAGUGUCCUCUGCAACCCUGCUUCUCAGAUGACCAAGAUGGUGCUGCAGAUGGUGCUGAGGAUGGAGAACCCACCAAGCCCCGCUAGGAGCCACCUAGACUGGAUGCAGAGCAUGGCUAAAACCUUUGAAGAAGAAUUUAUUAUAUCCUACAAACCUGGGAGGCAGAGGUUGCAGUGAGCCAAGAUUGGGCCAUCGCACUCCAGCCUGGGCAAUAAGAAUGAAACUCUGUCUCAAAAAAAACAAAAGUUGGCCAGGGCUGGGCGUGGUGGCUCACACCUGUAAUCCCAGCACUUUGGGAGGCUAAAGCAGGUGGAUCACCUGAGGUCAGAAGUACGAGACCAUCGUGGCUAAUAUGGUGAAACCCCAUCUCUA
ensembl:lncRNA MUC20-OT1 MUC20 overlapping transcript